UACGGAGGGUGCGAGCGUUGUUCGGAAUUAUUGGGCGUAAAGCGCGUGUAGGCGGUUUUUUAAGUCUGAUGUGAAAGCCCUGGGCUCAACCUGGGAAGUGCAUUGGAAACUGGAAGACUUGAGUACGGGAGAGGGCAGUGGAAUUCCUAGUGUAGGAGUGAAAUCCGUAGAUAUUAGGAGGAACACCGGUGGCGAAGGCGGCUGCCUGGACCGAUACUGACGCUGAGACGCGAAAGCGUGGGGAGCAAACAGG
rnacentral:rRNA from 1 species